rnacentral:rRNA from 1 species
AUUGAACGCUGGCGGCAUGCCUUACACAUGCAAGUCGAGCGGCAGCAUGGAGAGCUUGCUCUCUGAUGGCGAGUGGCGAACGGGUGAGUAAAGCAUCGGAACGUACCGUGUAGUGGGGGAUAACGUAGCGAAAGUUACGCUAAUACCGCAUACGCACUGAGGUGGAAAGCAGGGGAUCGUAAGACCUUGCGCUAUACGAGCGGCCGAUGUCAGAUUAGCUAGUUGGUAGGGUAAAGGCCUACCAAGGCGACGAUCUGUAGCGGGUCGGAGAGGAUGAUCCGCCACACUGGGACUGAGACACGGCCCAGACUCCUACGGGAGGCAGCAGUGGGGAAUUUUGGACAAUGGGGGCAACCCUGAUCCAGCCAUGCCGCGUGAGUGAAGAAGGCCUUCGGGUUGUAAAGCUCUUUCGGCCGGGAAGAAAUCGCACAGGCUAAUACCCUGUGUGGAUGACGGUACCGGCAUAAGAAGCACCGGCUAACUACGUGCCAGCCGCCGCGGUAA